UUUUGUGCACGCCCAACAUAUUUUGUGAUUUGUAUAAACUCAGUGGCUCACUAUUGUGUUGGAUUAGAAAAAGCUCAUAACACCAACGGUUUAUCGCCUUUGCAUCUGGUGGUCCUCAUAGGCUCGGUUGUAGUUCUAGAAGAGUUCCUGGAAAAGGCUCCAUUGUUCUUCAGCUCCCUCACACGAUCGAAGGAGACAGUCUUUCAUCUCGCUGCACGAAACAAAAACGUAGAUGGCUUCAUUUUCAUGGCAGAGAGGCUGGGCAUUAACAGCCAAAAACUUCUGCAGCAAGUAGAUGUUAAUGGCAAUACUGUCUUACAUAUCGCUGUUUCCAUGGCUUGUGGUGCUCCGAAGGGAAGGAUACAAGUAAAAGACUCCUUUGAAUAGAGAUAAAGGUCUUCUCUUUGUGGAAUUGCGAGAUCUAAGAAAGAGGAUGAAAGCGAUCAAGAGGUUAAUUGAUUACGGUUUCAGGGUAUCUUAUUAUGGAUUAAGAGAGGGGCUUUGAUCUUCACAUGAUUUGUUUUUUCAUGAAUGCUCUGGAAACAGUUUCGAAAUCUCUUCUCCACCACCGCCACUACAUCCAUAGCUUCCGCAUUUUCCAAACAGAGGUCUUCACACUAUGGUGUUGUUCGUUUGCUCACACAGGUGAUCCAUUUGGGUGAAGAUACAAAUUGAUUUUUAUUUUGUACAUUAUAAUGCUACAUCCAGAUGGAUCACCCAG